rnacentral:rRNA from 1 species
UACGGAGGGUGCGAGCGUUAAUCGGAAUUACUGGGCGUAAAGCGCACGCAGGCGGUUUGUUAAGCUAGAUGUGAAAGCCCCGGGCUCAUCCUGGGAUGGUCAUUUAGAACUGGCAGACUAGAGUCUUGGAGAGGGGAGUGGAAUUCCAGGUGUAGCGGUGAAAUGCGUAGAUAUCUGGAGGGACAUCAGUGGCGAAGGCGACUCCCUGGCCAAAGACUGACGCUCAUGUGCGAAAGUGUGGGUAGCGAACAGG